rnacentral:rRNA from 1 species
UACGUAGGGUGCGAGCGUUAAUCGGAAUUACUGGGCGUAAAGCGUGCGCAGGCGGUGAUGUAAGACCGAUGUGAAAUCCCCGGGCUUAACCUGGGAACUGCAUUGGUGACUGCAUUGCUGGAGUAUGGCAGAGGGGGGUGGAAUUCCACGUGUAGCAGUGAAAUGCGUAGAGAUGUGGAGGAACACCUAUUGCGAAGGCAGCUCGCUGGGACGUAACUGACGCUGAGACGCGAAAGCGUGGGUAGCAAACAGG